CAUUCUUGGAGCUGGCUUGCCUUAGUCACUGGGUCAAGAGAGAAAGCAGCAGACAGACACUGGUCUGGAUCCACUGGGGAAAAGGCAGUGCACACUGGAAAACGUGGUGCCAAACAGUCACAAUGUACACGCGUGUCGAAACAAAACAGCUGCCUUGUAUGAGUAUCAGAGUUCUGAAAAGCAGAAAGGAGGAGCAUGAAGUGCAUCCAGGGUGGCCAAGAGACAUGAAGACCACAUCUCUUUCAAUUAUCAGUGAAAAUGAAGGCACCAGUCCGUGUCAUGUAUGGGAAGGAAGAAAAUUCUCUGCUUUCCAGGGAAGCCUCUGGACUAUUCUUAUCUCCUUAUUCAAAUCGAGCUGCACUGAAAUAUAUGAAGCUGUGCAUUAAUGGCUUAAAUUAAGUUACAGGUAUGAAUUUUACAUAAAUCAGAUUAAUGUUAUAUGUCAUGGAAAAAUUUUAAACACUUCGUGUCUGUGCAUUUUUUAUUUU